AUAUGUUUAACACGCAUGCGCGUCGUACAUAUUGGCGUUACCAAGGAGUAUAGAAGCGCUAUAUACCUAGGGUUACUGCGCAUGUACAGGUUCAUUCACUUCCGGAUGUAUGGUGGAUUCGAGAUUCGUUGGCAGUAAGUCAAAAAAAUAUUAACUUACUUAUGUUUUCUUAAAAACAAUGUGUGUUUGUGUUAACGGCUUUUAAUUGCAACGAUGCUUUGGUCAUAAUCGUAUAUUGCAAUUGCGAUUUCAGACAUUUAUGACAUGUGUUAUGAUAUAUGUUAGGAUUCAAAGUGACAGGGAUUCUGCUGCUGGUCUGUUAAAGGGUCUUUAAAAGUAUUUUUUCGCCGACAAAUUAGCCUUUAGAGAUGUAUUUAAAUAGAGCAGAAAGACUUGCAUUAAUAAAGUAGGCUAAUGUCACUGAUUGUUGCAUGUGUUGUUUUUGUAUUUGUCAUCCUUUUCAUUAACUAACAUUAUCAAAGAUUAAUAGAUACUGUAACAUUUAUUGUUCAUUGUUAACUAAUAUUAACCAUUGACAGCUUAUUGUAAAGUGUUACCUCUUCAAUUUACCUUUGUGUGACUGACAGAGUUCAUUUAAAUCUGACAUAUAGAAACCUUAACUUGACUGUAAAUGUUCUUUUGUUUAGAUACAUACUACAGUCCUCAGAAAAGGAGAAAAGAUAACAAUAGAACAGUGCAUCUCAUGCUGUGAUAAAUAUCACUGCCCAUUUUGUGAGACCUGGGUCUACAAACCAGUGGACUUGUACAGUGUCACGAAGCAUGUGCAGGAUCAUCUGAAAACAGCUGUUCGUGAAGAAGAUUUUAUUAUCAUAAGAUGCAGCUUAAAAUGCAGAGAUGUUUCUCAUUUUCAUUGCUGCUAUUGUUCUGCUACAAUCAUACGAAAAGCACAAUUUAACAUCCAUCUUACAAAAUGCAAGCAAAAGAAACAAAAGUUUCCAUCUCCACAAAGAACUCCAUCACCCAUGGUUCUGAUUGGUAAUACACCUCUGCCUGCAGCUUCUGCUCAGACAGCACCCCUUCUUCAACCUCAGCCUUCUCCAAGUGAACCACGCACGUCUGUGUCUCCCACGCCCAGUACUCCACUGUAUCAACCCAAAGUGUCGUGAACUGGAGUGCAUUUUCUGUAGGAUACAGACAGGAGUUCCGGGUGCCGUAUUCACUGACCCAGUGCCUAUGGUGCCAUGAAACAUUGAAAGA